GAUGAACGCUGGCGGCGUGCCUAAUACAUGCAAGUCGAGCGAACAGAUGAGGAGCUUGCUCCUCUGACGUUAGCGGCGGACGGGUGAGUAACACGUGGAUAACCUACCUAUAAGACUGGGAUAACUUCGGGAAACCGGAGCUAAUACCGGAUAAUAUAUUGAACCGCAUGGUUCAAUAGUGAAAGACGGUUUUGCUGUCACUUAUAGAUGGGUCCGAGCCGCAUUAGCUAGUUGGUAAGGUAACGGCUUACCAAGGCAACGAUGCGUAGCCGACCUGAGAGGGUGAUCGGCCACACUGGAACUGAGACACGGUCCAGACUCCUACGGGAGGCAGCAGUAGGGAAUCUUCCGCAAUGGGCGAAAGCCUGACGGAGCAACGCCACGUGAGUGAUGAAGGUCUUCGGAUCGUAAAACUCUGUUAUUAGGGAAGAACAAAUGUGUAAGUAACUAUGCACGUCUUGACGGUACCUAAUCAGAAAGCCACGGCUAACUACGUG
rnacentral:rRNA from 1 species